rfam:Schistosoma mansoni strain Puerto Rico chromosome W, complete genome
AUCCAACUGACGAGUUUAAAGUAGGACAAAACGCGCGUCCUAGAU